rnacentral:siRNA from 1 species
ACAAUGGUUGCCACUAACUUUUAA